rnacentral:tRNA from 6 species
CGGAGUGUAGCGCAGCCUGGUAGCGCACCACGUUCGGGACGUGGGGGUCGCAGGUUCAAAUCCUGCCACUCCGACCA